AUUGAACGCUGGCGGCAUGCUUUACACAUGCAAGUCGAACGGUAACAGGCCGCAAGGUGCUGACGAGUGGCGAACGGGUGAGUAAUGCAUCGGAACGUGCCCAGUCGUGGGGGAUAACUACUCGAAAGAGUAGCUAAUACCGCAUACGAUCUAUGGAUGAAAGCGGGGGACCGUAAGGCCUCGCGCGAUUGGAGCGGCCGAUGUCAGAUUAGGUAGUUGGUGGGGUAAAGGCUCACCAAGCCAACGAUCUGUAGCUGGUCUGAGAGGACGACCAGCCACACUGGGACUGAGACACGGCCCAGACUCCUACGGGAGGCAGCAGUGGGGAAUUUUGGACAAUGGGCGCAAGCCUGAUCCAGCAAUGCCGCGUGCAGGAAGAAGGCCUUCGGGUUGUAAACUGCUUUUGUACGGAACGAAACGGCUCUGGUUAAUAUCCGGGGCUAAUGACGGUACCGUAAGAAUAAGCACCGGCUAACUACGUG
rnacentral:rRNA from 1 species